rnacentral:rRNA from 1 species
GAUGAACGCUGGCGGCGUGCCUAAUACAUGCCAGUCGAGCGAACGGACGAGAAGCUUGCUUCUCUGAUGUUAGCGGCGGACGGGCGAGUAACACGUGGAUAACCUACCUAUAAGACUGGGAUAACUUCGGGAAACCGGAGCUAAUACCGGAUAAUAUUUUGAACCGCAUGGUUCAAAAGUAAAAGACGGUCUUGCUGUCACUUAUAGAUGGAUCCGCGCUGCAUUAGCUAGUUGGUAAGGUAACGGCUUACCAAGGCAACGAUGCAUAGCCGACCUGAGAGGGUGAUCGGCCACACUGGAACUGAGACACGGUCCAGACUCCUACGGGAGGCAGCAGUAGGGAAUCUUCCGCAAUGGGCGAAAGCCUGACGGAGCAACGCCGCGUGAGUGAUGAAGGUCUUCGGAUCGUAAAACUCUGUUAUUAGGGAAGAACAUAUGUGUAAGUAACUGUGCACAUCUUGACGGUACCUAAUCAGAAAGCCACGGCUAACUACGUG